UCCCUGGUGGCUCAGACUGAAAAGCAUCUGCCUGCAAUGCAGGAGACCCAGGUUCGAACCCUGGGUCUGGAA
rnacentral:tRNA from 1 species